rnacentral:rRNA from 1 species
UGAACGCUGGCGGCAUGCUUUACACAUGCAAGUCGGACGGCAGCACAGAGAAGCUUGCUUCUUGGGUGGCGAGUGGCGAACGGGUGAGUAACAUAUCGGAACGUACCGAGCAGUGGGGGAUAACUAAUCGAAAGAUUAGCUAAUACCGCAUAUUUUCUGAGGAAGAAAGCAGGGGACCUUUGGGCCUUGCGCUGUUUGAGCGGCCGAUAUCUGAUUAGCUAGUUGGUGGGGUAAAGGCCUACCAAGGCGACGAUCAGUAGCGGGUCUGAGAGGAUGAUCCGCCACACUGGGACUGAGACACGGCCCAGACUCCUACGGGAGGCAGCAGUGGGGAAUUUUGGACAAUGGGCGCAAGCCUGAUCCAGCCAUGCCGCGUGUCUGAAGAAGGCCUUCGGGUUGUAAAGGACUUUUGUCAGGGAAGAAAAGGGCGGGGUUAAUACCCCUGUCUGAUGACGGUACCUGAAGAAUAAGCACCGGCUAACUACGUG